AACGUAGGACGCAAGCGUUAUCCGGAGUUACUGGGCGUAAAGCGCACGUAGGUGGCGACGUAAGUCGGGUGUGAAAGCCCCGGGCUCAACCUGGGAAUUGCAUUCGAGACUGCAUUGCUGGAGUACGGAAGAGGAAGGCGGAAUUCCCGGUGUAGCGGUGAAAUGCGUAGAUAUCGGGAGGAACAUCAGUGGCGAAGGCGGCCUUCUGGUCCAGUACUGACACUCAAGUGCGAAAGCGUGGGGAGCAAACAGG
rnacentral:rRNA from 1 species